GCCAGCACCACUCCAGUGACUCUUCCCCCUGAGGAGAGAACAGUACAAUCCCAGCAGUGGGUGGAGUAGUCCGCACCCACCAAUGAAAGCUUCACAGGAGACAACACAGGGAACACACCCAGCAGUUCAAUGAUACUGCAUCUCUGAUAAAUGCCAGGUCUAACUCAACUCAAGCCUAAGGCAGCCCCAGACUGGAUCACUAACACUACAGGGACCAAACACUGGCCACAACAGGAAAAUGCCAAAGGAAAGAGAUAAAUUGAAGAAAAUAUUUUAAGCAAAAAGAACCAGAACAUGAAGAUUUAGAAAAUUCUCAGCCUAUUUAUAUUUAAAGCAAAAAGAAAGAAAGCAUGCUUUGAAGUCACAACCCAAUUUUCUGGCUAGACAACUGUUUUUAUAAAGAAAUUUUGGAUGUGAGUUGUGGAUCUAAUCAACUAUUACAGCAGAAACACUGCCAGCCUGGACCAAAGGGAACAGAGAUAGAAUAAAAUGAAGGAAGGCUGUCAGACUUCUGUAAGACUUUUUAGAGAAAAAAGUGAAUUGAUAAAGCCAUUCUAUGAUGAAAUAUGCUAUUCUACAAGAAAAGGGAAGAAUAACUCCAAAGGGUAGUUCAAACAUCACUGGAGCUACCACUGCUACCAGAGGCCGAGGGCAAAGACCAAAAGGUUAGGCUGUUGUCUCUUCUGUUCCAAGGAGUGGGGCUGCCACCCAUAGCUAAAGUAGGGCCAAACUCCAGAUUUCUAAGGGAAUAGUGCAUGAAGCUAAUAGGAAUUAUUCUCAAGCCUUGAAAUCUAACCUAAUCUAAUUCUCAAGAUUUGAAAAAUGGCUUAAGACCUAUGGCCUCUUUUUUCCUUCUAAUUUCUUCCUUUGGGAAUAGAAAUGCCUGUUCUAUGGCUGUCCCACUAUUGUAUUAUUGGGAGAAUAUAAUUUGAUGUUUAGUUUUACAGGUUCUCAGAUGGAGAAGAAUUUUGCCUCAGGAUUAAACAUACUCCAAGUAUUACCCAUAACUGGAUGACUUAGAUGAUGAUAUUUGGGACUUUGAGUUAAUGAUAUUUAGGUGAGAUGCUGGAGUUAAAACUGGGGACCUAGGAAUGAGAUGAGUAUAUUUUGCAUGUGGGAAGGACAUGGAUAUUUAGAAGCCAGAGAAUAGAUUGUUAUGGGUUGAACUGUGUUCUCCUCCAACACCAAAAAUAUGUAGAAUUCCUAACCACAAGCAACUCAGAAUAAAUACCUUGUCUUUAUAAAGAUAAUCAAGUUAAAGUGAGGUCAUUAGAGUGGUCCUUAAUCCAAUAUGAAUGGUGUCAUCAAAACAGGAUAUUUGGAAAAGGGACAUGCACAUGGGGAGAACACGAUGUGAGGAUGAAAGCAGAAAUAAGAGCCUCUAUAAGGCAAGGAAAACAAAAUAUUACCAGCAAACUGUCAACAGCUAGAACAAAAACAUUAAACAGACUCUCAGUAACAAUCCCUCAGAUGGGACCAUCACUGAUGACACCUUGAUAUCAGAAUUCCAACCUCUAGAACUUUAAGACAGUAAUAUUCUGUUGUUUAAGUUAUCCAGUUUGUGGUCCUUGGUUAUGGAAGCCCUGGGAAUCUAAUACAAAGGAGAAACAGAUAACACUUUCUGUUUUGGUGUCUGAGUCCAAGACCACCAGCACCUUUACCAGAUACAACUGUGUGUGAGUCACAUUGGACCAUUACAGACCUCCAUUGUUAUGACCUCCACUAAUAAAUAUAUAUUGAUAUAGAU